rnacentral:rRNA from 1 species
GACGUAGGGCGCGAGCGUUGUCCGGAAUCAUUGGGCGUAAAGAGCUCGUAGGCGGCUCGGUAAGUCGGGUGUGAAACCCCCAGGCUCAACCUGGGGACGCCACCCGAUACUGCUGUGGCUAGAGUCCAGUAGGGGAGUGUGGAAUUCCCGGAUGUAGCGGUGAAAUGCGCAGAUAUCGGGAGGAACACCAGCGGCGAAGGCGGCACUCUGGGCUGGAACUGACGCUGAG